CUUUGAUUCUGGCUCAGGACGAACGCUGGCGGCGUGCCUGACGCAUGCAAGUCGAACGAAGCUUGAUUUAUGAUUUCUUCGGAAUGAAUAAUGAUAUGACUUAGUGGCGGACGGGUGAGUAACGCGUGAGCAACCUGCCUUUCAGAGGGGGAUAACAGUUGGGAACGACUGCUAAUACCGCAUAACAUAUAUUUAAGGCAUCUUAGAUAUAUCAAAGCUGAGGCGCUGAAAGAUGGGCUCGCGUCCGAUUAGAUAGUUGGUGGGGUAACGGCCUACCAAGUCGACGAUCGGUAGCCGGACUGAGAGGUUGAACGGCCACAUUGGGACUGAGACACGGCCCAGACUCCUACGGGAGGCAGCAGUGGGGGAUAUUGCACAAUGGGGGAAACCCUGAUGCAGCAACGCCGCGUGAGGGAAGACGGUUUUCGGAUUGUAAACCUUUGUCUUUGGUGAAGAAGAAAGUGACGGUAGCCAAGGAGGAAGCCACGGCUAACUACGUGCCAGCAGCCGCGGUAAUACGUAGGUGGCAAGCGUUGUCCGGAAUUACUGGGUGUAAAGGGAGCGCAGGCGGGAGCGCAAGUUGGAUGUGAAAUACCGCAGCUUAACUGCGGAGCUGCAUCCAAAACUGUGUUUCUUGGGUGAAGUAGAGGUAGGCGGAAUCCCGAGUGUAGCGGUGAAAUGCGUAGAUAUUCGGAGGAACACCGGUGGCGAAGGCGGCCUACUGGGCUUUUACUGACGCUGAGGCUCGAAAGUGUGGGGAGCAAACAGGAUUAGAUACCCUGGUAGUCCACACUGUAAACGAUGAUUGCUAGGUGUGGGGGGUCUGACCCCUUCCGUGCCGGAGUUAACGCAAUAAGCAAUCCACCUGGGAGUACGGCCGCAAGGUUGCAACUCAAAUGAAUUGACGGA
rnacentral:rRNA from 1 species